rnacentral:rRNA from 1 species
UAGUCUUAUUUUAAUUUCCUCACCUUCAAUUAACCCUUCAUUAGUAAUGAGUAAUUCUAUAUUUUUAUAGAAAUUUUUAUGUAAAAACUAGUAACAAGAAGAAGACCUUCUCUUAAAUGCACCUAUAAAUCAGAAAGGACACACCACUGAUAAUUAACGCUUAUGAUUCUAAAGUAAAAACUUAACCAGAAAAACUUACUAGACACAACGUUAACCUUACACAAGAACAUUUCAAGAAAGAUUAAAAGAAAAAGAAGGAACUCGGCAAAUAUUAACCCCGCCUGUUUACCAAAAACAUCGCCUUUUGAAAAACAUAAGAGGUCCAGCCUGCCCAGUGACAGUGUUCAACGGCCGCGGUAUCCUAACCGUGCGAAGGUAGCGUAAUCACUUGUCCUUUAAAUGAGGACUAGUAUGAAUGGCAUCACGAGGGUUAUACUGUCUCCUUUUUUUGAUCAGUGAAACUAAUUUUUCCGUGAAGAAGCGGAAAUACACCUAUAAGACGAGAAGACCCUAUGGAGCUUUAAACGAAACAACAUUUGCUUUAACACACGCUAAUCUCAGGAAAUUAACCUUUAUUUUAGCCCUAUAAUUGCUAGUUUUAGGUUGGGGUGACCGCGGAGUAAAAAAUAACCUCCACAAUGAAUGGGGACUUCCCCUAAACAAAAAACCACAACUUUAUGUAUCAACAAAUUGACAUCAAUUGACCCAAUAUUUUGAUCAACGAAACAAGUUACCCUAGGGAUAACAGCGCAAUCCACUUCGAGAGCCCAUAUCGACAAGUGGGUUUACGACCUCGAUGUUGGAUCAGGAUACCCCAGUGGCGCAGCCGCUACUAAAGGUUCGUUUGUUCAACGAUUAAAACCCUACGUGAUCUGAGUC